CCAAUGUAACUCAGUUGAUUAGAGCGUUUCGCUGAAAUCGCAGGGGCCGCAGGUUCGAUUCCGGCCAAGGA